rnacentral:rRNA from 1 species
AUCGAACGCUGGCGGCGUGGCUAAAACAUGCAAGUCGGACGCGAAAGUAUCUUCGGAUACGAGUAGAGUGGCGAAAGGGCGAGGAGUACAUGGGUAACGUACCCCGAGCAUGAGGACAGCUGUGGGAAACUGCAGGUAAUACUCAAUGAGACCACGGUGUCAUAUGGCACAGCGGUCAAAGGACGGGGAUUCGCUUCGGCGGACCUGUCGGCUUGGGAGCGGCCCAUGUCCUAUCAGCUUGUUGGUGAGGUAACGGCUCACCAAGGCUACGACGGGUACCGGGACUGAGAGGUUGACCCGGCGCAUUGGGACUGAGACACUGCCCAGACUCCUACGGGAGGCUGCAGUAACGAAUAUUCCGCAAUGGGCGAAAGCCUGACGGAGCGACGCCGCGUGCAGGAUGAAGCCCUUCGGGGUGUAAACUGCUGUCAGGGAUUACCAAGCAAUGGGGGUUAAUACCUUCCGGCGUUGAGGAAUCCCAAAGGAAGCCACGGCUAACUUCGUGCCAGCAGCCGCGGUAAGACGAAGGUGGCAAGCGUUGUUCGGAAUCACUGGGCUUAAAGCGCAUGCAGGCGGCCUGUCAAGCGUCUUGUGAAAGCCCUCGGCUCAACCGAGGAAUUGCUUGGCGAACUGGCAGGCUUGAGGCGGGUAGAGGCGUGUGGAACUCUUGGUGGAGCGGUGGAAUGCGUAGAUAUCAAGAGGAACGCCGGAGGCGAAAGCGACACGCUGGGCCUGUCCUGACGCUCAGAUGCGAAAGCCAGGGUAGCGAACGGGAUUAGAUACCCCGGUAGUCCUGGCCCUAAACGAUGUCAACUAGGCUAGAGUCUCUCUGACGGGUUCUGGUCGGAACAAAAGCGUUAAGUUGACCGCCUGGGGAGUACGGUCGCAAGGCUAAAACUCAAAGGAAUUGACGGGUGCUCACACAAGCGGUGGAGCAUGUUGCUUGAAUUCGAUGCAACGCGAAGAACCUUAUCCUGGGCUUGACAUGCUUGGAUGCCUACUGGGAAACCAGAUCGGCUGCCCUUCGGGGUGAAACUUGCACAGGUGCUGCAUGGCUGUCGUCAGCUCGUGUCGUGAGAUGUUGGGUUAAGUCCCGUAACGAGCGAAACCCUUGUCGUUAGUUGCCAGCGCGUAAUGGCGGGGACUCUAGCGAGACUGCCGGUGUUAAACCGGAGGAAGGUGGGGACGACGUCAAGUCCUCAUGGCCUUUAUGCCCAGGGCUGCAAACGUGCUACAAUGACCGGUACAAACCGACGCUAAGCCGCGAGGUGGAGCAAAUCGGAAAAAACCGGCCCCAGUUGGGAUUGGAGUCUGCAACUCGACUCCAUGAACGUGGAAUCGCUAGUAAUCGUAGAUCAGCAUGCUACGGUGAAUGUGUUCCUGAGCAUUGUACACACCGCCCGUCAAGUCAUGGAAGCCGGGAGUACCCGAAGUCGCUCCAUCUCAGGAGUGCCGAAGGUAAGUUCGGUGACUGGG